rnacentral:piRNA from 1 species
UGAGAGACUGGGGAUACAAGAUGGUG